GCUAACUCCGUGCCAGCAGCCGCGGUAAUACGGAGGGUCCAAGCGUUAUCCGGAUUUAUUGGGUUUAAAGGGUACGUAGGCGGAGCUUUAAGUCAGUAGUGAAAGCCCAUUGCUUAACAAUGGAACUGCUAUUGAUACUGGAGUUCUUGAAUAUAGUUGAAGUAGGCGGAAUACGGCAUGUAGCGGUGAAAUGCAUAGAUAUGCCGUGGAACACCAAUCGCGAAGGCAGCUUACUAAGCUAUUAUUGACGCUGAUGUACGAAAGCGUGGGGAGCGAACAGGAUUAGAUACCCUGGUAGUC
rnacentral:rRNA from 1 species